rnacentral:rRNA from 1 species
AGAGUUUGAUCCUGGCUCAGGAUGAACGCUAGCUACAGGCUUAACACAUGCAAGUCGAGGGGAAACGACAUCGAAAGCUUGCUUUUGAUGGGCGUCGACCGGCGCACGGGUGAGUAACGCGUAUCCAACCUGCCCACCACUUGGGGAUAACCUUGCGGAAGUAAGACUAAUACCCAAUGACGUCUCUAGAAGACAUCUGAAGGAGAUUAAAGAUUUAUCGGUGAUGGAUGGGGAUGCGUCUGAUUAGCUUGUUGGCGGGGUAACGGCCACCAAGGCGACGAUCAGUAGGGUUCUGAGAGGAAGGUCCCCCANAUUGGAACUGAGACACGGUCCAAACUCCUACGGGAGGCA